CAGACCCCGGGGAACUCCUUCAGCUGUGACACUGUAAUGGGAGGUGGAGACACCUCGAGGAGAAGGUCGAGACAGACAACAGCAAUUGCAGUCAACAACAUCCUGACUCGCCUCGAUUACAGAAACCUCAGAAGAACUGUACACCCUUGAAAUCUGUGUUGAUGUGUUUUAAAUUUAUGAUAUGAAGCACAUCCACUCUCAGCAGGUUGCAGGAAGGGGCCAUAAAAUCAUAACACAUCUUUGGAGGGAUUUGGACUGAUUGCAAAUAAGGCAUGCAAUGUGAUUUCCUUCUGGUAGUGUCUGACCAUACCAUCA